AUACAUUCAGCAGUAACACGGAAUGUUAUUUUGAUCACAAUAAUACAAAGCUUAUUUUGAGAAUUGUCGAAGCAGUGAAUCAUAGUUCUUUCCCUUUCAGUGAGUAAGAACUUAAUCAUAAUUGUAUUGAACGAAGGAGAUCCACAGUAGCAGUUAGGCUAACAAUUGUGUCCAUUACCUUGAACUCAAAAAUUAAAAUAGCUUGAGGUGAAACACACGUGUUUCUCGACAUUAAUAUUCCUUAAUAUACAGCUCACGAACUAACUAGAGUGCCUAUCUUCUUGUCUCAUUCCCAUCCUCUUCAUCUCUCUCCCUUCUCUUCCACAAACUUCAGGAUGGGCAUGCUCUAUGUCAUAUAAUCGGACCAUAAAGACUAUUUAAAAUGGUACAAAUAAGUAUGUCUGAAUUUCAUACUUUAACAUUCGCAUAAAUGUUUAAAUCUCAUUAUUCCCACCUCAGUUAAUCACUCAACUUCCAAAAGAUGGUCUCCAACAAUUACCCUUAUUUUUAUUCAUAUGAAGAAGGUAGAGCGUACCUGUGUCUGUAAUGGUAGGUGCAAAAUGUCGGUACUAUAGGGAACUAAUGUCCUUCCGAUCAAAUUGUUGCUUCUUCAAGAAACCUCAAAGUAAAAGGUUAGAGAGAGAUGCUCUCAAUUCUAGUGAGAGAAAAUCCCAUUAGAGUGCCUUGGUUCUCUUGUGAUCUUUCUUGUGUUUGAUUCAAUUUUUAGUUCCUCCUGCUGAAAAUUGAUUUAAACAUAUUGCAUUUUCUGGUUUCUUAUCUUAUUUGGUUCCUUGAAGUUCAUUUUCAGAUGGGUUUUUUUUAUUGAAGAUUGUAAGUGCCAACUGUUUUCAUCCUCUGCUCAGGUUUCGUUUUGGCCUGAAAUUCAGGUCCAGGCUUGCAUUGUUUUGAAAUUAUUCUGGUUGGUUUCUUGGUUUUCUUGAUCUUCCAUUACCUAGGUCCAGAUUCGAGUUUCUGCUUGUUGUUUGGUUUUCAGCUACAGCUUGUUUGUGGUCCUGUACUCGUCUGCUUCAAGGUGGGUACUUCUGUGUUUUUCUUGGACUUAUCUUGUUCAAGAGUUGUUUUGGACCAAGUUCGAUUUCUGUUGCUGGGUGGUUUCUUUUUCUUAGCUGUGGUUUUUGUCUUCACUGGUCCCGCCUUCUUCUUGGUCGUCAGUUGUUUUUGUUGGGUUUCGCUGGUCGUGGCUGCUGUGAUUUGUUGUUCAAAAUAAACAACAACAAUAAAAAAAAUAUAAAAAAAAAAAUAAUUUGGUCCAUGCGAUGCUGGUUUCUUUUUCUUAGCUGUGGUUUUUGUCUUCACUGGUCCCACCUUCUUCUUGGUGGUCAGUUGUUUUUGUUGGGUUUCACUAAUCGUGGCUGCUGUGAUUUGUUGUUCAAAAUAAACAACAAUAAAAGAAAAUAUAAAAAAAAAACAAUAAUUUGGUCCAUGCGACCGCAUCGCAUGGCCUAAUACUGAGACCAAAUGGUCUCGGCAUGGGCAAACCAUGAGACCGCAUGGGUUUGUACCAUGCGGUCGCAUGGUGCAAUUAUUUGGCCAUUUUGAAAGCCGUUUUCUCCCGUUAUAAAUUCAAAAUUGGCGACUUUUGGCUUAAAAUUUGGUACCAUUUCGUGAAUGUGAUAUAUGCCUAUAUAUAUUG
rnacentral:lncRNA from 1 species